AUUCUACUCCCUCCGUUGCACAAUACAUGCCUUCUAUUUGUCAAAAUAUAUAUGUAUCUAUACAUGUUUUAGUAUAUAGGUACAUCCAUUUUUGGACAAAUGGAAGUCAAGUAUUUUGGAAUGGAGGGAGUACACA
rfam:Triticum aestivum genome assembly, contig: Triticum_aestivum_CS42_TGACv1_scaffold_130177_2BL